rnacentral:tRNA from 1 species
AGUUUUAUAGUUUAAUAAAAAUAUUAAUUUUGUAAAUUAAAGAUAAUCUAUAUUAUUUAAUUUAAAACUA